GUGGGGAAUUUUGGACAAUGGGCGCAAGCCUGAUCCAGCAAUGCCGCGUGCAGGAAGAAGGCCUUCGGGUUGUAAACUGCUUUUGUACGGAACGAAACGGUCCUGGUUAAUACCUGGGGCUAAUGAUGGUACCGUAAGAAUAAGCACCGGCUAACUACGUGCCAGCAGCCGCGGUAAUACGUAGGGUGCAAGCGUUAAUCGGAAUUACUGGGCGUAAAGCGUGCGCAGGCGGUUUUGUAAGACAGGCGUGAAAUCCCCGGGCUCAACCUGGGAAUUGCGCUUGUGACUGCAAGGCUGGAGUGCGGCAGAGGGGGAUGGAAUUCCGCGUGUAGCAGUGAAAUGCGUAGAUAUGCGGAGGAACACCGAUGGCGAAGGCAAUCCCCUGGGCCUGCACUGACGCUCAUGCACGAAAGCGUGGGGAGCAAACAGGAUUAGAUACCCGUGUAGUCC
rnacentral:rRNA from 1 species